AUCCAGAUGACGAGUCCCAAAGAGGACGAAAUGUGCAUCCUGGAU
rnacentral:hammerhead_ribozyme from 1 species